UCAGCUUUCUCCUGGCUGAGACUGCCUGG
rnacentral:piRNA from 1 species